rnacentral:miRNA from 1 species
GGCCCGCUGUGGCGGAACCCGAGGUGGGCGUUGCCUAGAAACGCAUCAUUGUCUCUGGGUUCUUAGCCUUGCACAGGCAGCAGUUCUGGGACACUUGGCGGGGUAGUC